rnacentral:rRNA from 1 species
UAGCUUAGUGGCGGACGGGUGAGUAACGCGUGAGCAACCUGCCUUUCAGAGGGGGAUAACGUUUGGAAACGAACGCUAAUACCGCAUAAGACCACACUUCCACAUGGGAGAGGGGUCAAAGGAGCAAUCCGCUGAAAGAUGGGCUCGCGUCCGAUUAGAUAGUUGGGGGGGUAACGGCCCACCAAGUCGACGAUCGGUAGCCGGACUGAGAGGUUGAACGGCCACAUUGGGACUGAGACACGGCCCAGACUCCUACGGGAGGCAGCAG